AGUUUAAUGUGACAGAUUAAGUAUCUAACUUAAUGAUGAGAUUCUGUGUGAUCAUAAAUGUUAGAGGCAAAUUCACUGUAACGUUGACAGGCAGCAAACCAGUGUGUAAUUCUUAAAACAUACACAGCUUUUGUAGUCUUACAGCCAGACCACAUGGACCAAAUCUCCCAGACGACACAAGUCUGCAAAAUGAAACCAAAACAAGAUAUCUGCUUUGCAAAGAUUAGUGAGAAAAUCUGUUUUAUUUCAAUUUCGGGUGAACCGAGCCUAAUUACAUUUUAAGAAUGAAUCUGCCCUCCUCAGAAAAACGGCAGCCAAAAACACACUUUAAUAAUAAUUCUCUGCUGGAGUGAGAAAAUGCAUUGUACUCCCUAAACGCAGUAUAUUUCAUAUUCGACCAUUUGUGAGCGCUGGUGUCAAGGAAGGUCAUCCUUUAACAGCAAAUCCUUGAUGCUCACUUUAACUGACACGCGCUCACAGCAGGACCUGUUGUGGGUUUUCCUUUUCAAUUGCACCUGCUGGUUUUCCGUGCCUGCGUGUCUUUAGUUGCCUGAGUAGUUCCAAAGCACAAUGUCUAAUGCCGGUGUUAUUCCUCGCUCAUACAAGUGUACCAUCAUGGCGCUAAAUGAGCUGCAGCGAGUGAUAUGAAAGAGCACACAGUAAUUUACUGAUGGCUGCUAAUGAAACAUGAGGCCGGUGCUGCGUGUUUUCUCACUCUUGCCGAGAGGAAACGCUGCCGCCGGGAAAGCUACGCCGGCUUGCGGAGCACUGUCACGCCGCCUCGCGACACACGCAGGAUUAUCAGAGAAAAACAAAUGGAGGCAGUGAUUCACUAGUUGUUUAUUUACAGCCCUCUCCGGAGAAGAAAUAAAUUCCCCUGUUGAGGCUUUGUUUCCCCAUCAUACGACGCGACGGGACGCAUGAGAAGAGAGAUUCACGCACUGUGUAACUAUGAAUAUCUUCAGCAUAAACUCAUCAGACCGGCAGCGUUGAUUUGUGAAACCAUCUCGGGCAACUGGCCGCCGAUGCUACUUGUUCAGUCGGACAAAAAGCCACCAGCAAAGGACGACAAGUGCUAACGGGAUACACUGCAAAAAAACAGAACCAGGUAACAGGUAACAUCAUAG